CACCGUAAACUGCUUUUACUCGGGAAAAAACCUUUGCUUUAUAGCAGAGCUGAUUGUACCGAGAGAAUAAGGGACGGCUAACUUCGUGC
rnacentral:rRNA from 1 species